CUGGUAUUCUCAAUGGUUGCGUGUCGACCCUGCUUUGAUUAUCCGCAAGCUUAUACAUAUUUGUACGCUAAUGUGCAGCCCUGGAUAACGGAAUCAGAGCUUUCCGUCACUCAUUUAUUUAGUUUGUUGAUAAAUGUUCGCACUUCAGAGCCCCGAUCACUAUCCUUUAACCAAAUCAUAUUUACAUACAUCGCUAUUUGAAAGUGAUAUUGAUCGGAAUGAAAUGAUUUGUCGGAACUUGUAAUCGAUUGGAAUGAAAUGAAGUAGAACGAAACGAUGUUAGAUGAAAUGAAAAAAUAAAAAAAAUGUCACAAUAAUUUGGAAAUUUACUUUAGUGGCCUUUUGGAAGAGCCCAUAAAUCCACGUCCAGAGACUUUGUUUUGUUUUCCCGAAAAGUGCCCUUUUACGGAUGCUAAGUGGUUAAUGAGCCACGUUGUUACAAGAUUAAAGUGAAGAAGCACUAGGUCAUCUAGCACUAGGUUACUAAUCAGUUAAAAUAAUUCCCACCGUAUCGCUCGUGGCGUUUCCGUUAAAAAAUCUCAUGGAAUAAACUCUAAACUCAGCGACGUUACAAGAAUCCGUCGACAACACAACGUAAAUGCCCGCUGCAAGUAAUACAUAAAAUGGAAGUAAGGUGUCUUCCCGUUUUUUUUUUUGACAUAUACAACUGUUUUCAAGAGCCUCUGCAAACAGUUUAUAAACGAGAGUUUUUAUUCGGGAGAUGGAAUGGCCUCAUCGUCGGAACGAUCCCUGGAAGCGGGGGCGAAGUAAUUAAAACUUGCACUAGGCUCUCUUGCACCGACGCCGCUUACACUACGAGAUUUUUAUUAAACUUAAUCCUUUGAUAAGAAACAACUAGAGCACAGUUCUCGCAGAGUUACCGCUCAAUGUUCGCAGGUGUAUUCUCAUCUUGCGGUUUUGUAAUGAAAUGAAUAAAUAACUGAGAAUAUUUAGAAAAAUACUAAUAAAUAUAUCCGUAAAUAUAAAUUUUUUUGAUAGUUACUAACAUCGCAAUAUUCUUUCAAUUUUCUGUAUAAGUACAUCAGACCUUUUAUAUAACAAAAUUAGCUACCAUUAAAACUCGUAUAUACAACGUAAUAAAA